UAUUUUAUUAUAAUUUUUUAUUUAAUAUAAUUUUUAUCAAGUAUAUUUUUAUUUAGUAAGGGUUUUAGAAUCAAUGUAUAUUUUUUUACUGUAAAGGUUAUAAUUUUUUAAUAUAUAAGUAUUUAUAUUUUGGAGUACCUUUUGUAUUAGGGUUUAUUAAUAUUUUUUAUUUAUUUAAUUUUCCCGAAAUUAAAAGAUUUAUUAGUAAUGUGUUGAGUUUUUGUUUCAUAACAAUUUUUAAUAUACUAAUGGAAUUUAUAUGAUAUUCGUUUUUAUUUAUAUCUGGUUUUUUAAUAAUUAAAUUUAAUUUAGGAUUAAAUUUAGUGUUUAUUAUAUUUUAUUAUUUACAUGAUUUAUUCUAAUAUACUUGGGGAAAAGCUCAUGUAUUUUCUAUAAUUUUAGGUGAAAAUAAUAUAUUUUAGGCUUAGAAAUAGCCAUUAUUUAUUUUGUUAUUAUUAAUUUUUUUUUUAUUAGAUUUUUUAGAAUUUAGUUUUUUAUUAAAACUUUUUUAUUAAUUUUUAAUAGACUUUGAUAAUGAUAAAAUUAGUAUUUUUGGGAAUUAUUUAUUAGUAAUUCGGCAAGUUUAAUUCUCGCCUGUUUAACAAAAACAUGUCCUUUUGUUAAUUUAUUUAAGGUCUGGCCUGCCCAAUGAUUAUUUUAAUGGCUGCGGUAUUUUAACCGUACAAAGGUAGCGUAGUAAUUUGUCUCUUAAUUAGAGGCUUGUAUGAAUGGUUAGACGAAGAAUUUUCUUUCUUAUAAUUAUUUCAAUUAAUUUAAUUUUUUAGUUAAAAAGCUAAAAUUUUUUUAUAGGACGAGAAGACCCUAUAGAACUUUAUUAUUUAUUUUAUUUAAGAAUUUUGGUGUAUAUAUUUUUUAUACUAUAAAUAUUUUUGUUGGGGUGACAGGAAAAUUUUUUUAACUUUUCUAUAUUUUUCUUCAAUGAUUUUUGUUCUGUUGAUCUUAUAUUAUUGAUUAUUAGAUUAAGUUACCUUAGGGAUAACAGCGUUAUUUUUUUUAAGAGUUCUUAUCGAAAGAAAAGUUUGCGACCUCGAUGUUGAAUUAAGAUUAUUAUUGGGUGUAGAAGCUCAUUUAUUAGGUCUGUUCGACCUUUAAAUUCUUACAUGAUUUGAGUUCAAACCGGCGUAAGCCAGGUUGGUUUCUAUCCUUAAAUUUUUAUUUCAAUUUAGUACGAAAGGACCAGUUGAAUUGAAUAUAAUUUUUGUUAUUUGAUUUUAAUUA
rnacentral:rRNA from 1 species